GAUGAAGAACGCAACGAAAUGCGAUAAGUAAUGUGAAUUGCAGAAUUCAGUGAAUCAUCGAAUCUUUGAACGCACAUUGCGCCCGCCAGUAUUCUGGCGGGCAUGCCUGUCUGAGCGUCAUUUCAACCCUCAGCCCCCGCUCGCGGGGCGCUGGCGUUGGGGAUCGGCCGUCCUCGCGGCGGCCGGCCCCGAAACACAGUGGCGGUCUCUCGCGGACUCCCCUGCGUAGUAGCACUACCUCGCAGAAGGGACGAGCGGGCUGACCACGCCGUAAAACCCCCCACUUCUCCAGGUUGACCUCAGAUCAGGUAGGAAUACCCGCUGAACUUAAGCAUAUCAAUAAGCGGAGGA
rnacentral:misc_RNA from 1 species